UCCUAGACCUAUAUAUCUUUUUUUUAAGCCUAUUCAUAUAAAUAUUUAUUUCCCUUCAUUUUUUUUUUUUUUCUCCCAACAUAUUCUGAUGGUGCUAUCUGCCUGGUGGAGCCCCCUCACGCCACAACAGACCUUGUAACUGAUGAAGAGUGCGAGGAGACUUUGUCUGCUGCCUUCACAGGGGGGAACCAGAAAGGCCUGUAGAGGGCAUGGCUGGGAAGCAGCAGGAGGGUCCCUCAACUUCAACUGCACAGAUUGACAGUGAGAUGGAUGUUCAGUAAACACCAGACGUUCAUUCUGUGGAAUUCAUGUGCAACUGUAUAAUUUAAUGUCCUCCUUAUGUAUUCCCAGUUACCCGUGAAAGACAUCUAUAAAAUAUUUCUGUUGAAAAAACCGACAAAGAAAUGCAGUUCUUGGACCGCCAGAUGAGAUGGGUAGAUCUCGAAAUUGAAUUACUAGAGCACAAGUUAGAGGGAAUAAAGAAGACUAAAUGAAA